GUGGCACUAUCAGCCAUCUUUAUAUGCUGAGGUAUCACUGGUGUCCAUCUUUUAUACACUGCUGAUCAGCUACUACCAGCAACAAGGAUUUUUAUACACAGAUGAUAUCUGGGUUACUAAGAGAAAGAGGUAUAUUUAUUCAAAGAAACAGACUUUGCAGCUCAUUGACAAGGGUUGACCCAAUUGGUACAGCCAUUCAGAGAAGGUCAUACCAUGUUGCUUCACCAAACAGCAUGUGGCAUAUGGACAGUCACAUGAAGCUUAUAAGGUUUUCGCCAAAGCAGAUGUUCAAUAUGGAUUACCGUCUAGGGUUCGGUCUGAUCGUGGUGGAGAAAAUGUACAGGUAGCUGCUUAUGAAUGCACUGAGGGGGUUACAUCAUGGCAGCCACAUAACUGGAACAUCUGUUCACAAUCAGAUAAUUGAAAGACUGUGGAGAGAUGUUUUCCAACAGGUUCUCGACCCUUCUACAGGGAAUUUUAUCAUAUGGACAUUGUUGUAAUGGAUGAAUGGAAUAAUUUGCACAAAGGAUGUCUGUAUUUGUUUACCAUUCUGAAAUUACUGAAAGAUUGGAACUUUUCAGGAAAGGUUGGAAUAAACAUAAAAUUAGAACUGAAAGUAAUAGAACACCUUAACAAAUUUGGUUUGAUGGUCUCUCAGCUACAUCUAAUGAUUCAGGUACAAUUAAGGUGAACACACAAGACUGCACAUAAUUUAGUUGUACAUUUACAAAGAACUGGUGUUGAAAUGACAGAUAAUGAACUUACAUUAUUAUUAUUAUUUGUUUAUUUAGCAGACGCCUUUUUCCAAGGCGACUUACAGAGACUAGGGUGUGUGAACAAUGCAUCAGCUGCAGAGUCACUUACAAUUACGUCUCACCCGAAAGACGGAGUACAAGGAGGUUAAGUGACUUGCUCAGGGUCACACAAUGAGUCAGUGGCUGAGGUGAGAUUUGAACCAGGAACCUCCUGGUUACAAGCCUGUUUCUUUAACCACUGGACCACACAGCCUCCUUCUUACAGAAACCAAAGAGUUUUUUAAUCCACUGAACAACUCCAAAUUUUAGUAGAAUCAGUUGAACCUGGUACUGAUUUAAAAGAUAAAUACUUACGCUAUGUUUAAAAAGCAACUGAGUUCUUGGUAUCUGGUACCCAAACAUAAAUGUCAUGUUGAGUGCAUGAAUUUUAGUUUGCUGCUGCAACACCAACUCCCAUAGGGGCCUGCUGCUCACAUCCUGACUGUGGUCAUGACAUCCCAGGGAGGGAGGGGGAGCUGGAUACAUUUAACUGUUUUCCAGGCCAUAAAAUAUUUUAUAGGCAAAUUCACCUUGAAUGAAGGGCACAUUUGAACUCAUCAACUGCAACAUACCUUUAAAUUAUUUUUUAAAUGUCAAAUUGAGUAAGUAAUCAUAUCAAUUAAGUAUUAGAGAGCAAAAGUUGGAAAAGAAACCAGCAGACAUUGUGGCCGUCCAGGAACUGAGGGUGGAAUUAAAUCAAAACUUUGACCCACCCACUAAUCACACAUGACAACUCAGGAUUUGAUGGUGGUUGGUUUUAUGAGUAGAAGAAAGAAGUUUCUUACAAAAAAAUAAACCUAUUCAGUACAGGGUUGUAAUUUAUGAUUAGACAUCCAUGAUUUAGCCAUUUAGGAUUUUACAUUAUCUUUAAAAACUUGCAAGACUGUAGCCCUCCAGGACCAAGAGUAAGUGUCAUUUCUAUAUGUAAAACUGCACAUAGCUGACAGAAAUUGAAAGGAAAUUGUCACAGCCUCAGCAUUUACAAGAGGCAUUUUCAUUAGCACUAGCUUGCUUAAUUUAGUUAUUGAUAUUUAAGGUCUGCAAAACAAGGUUAGAGUUAAGAUUGCUGGUUACCCUACAGAUGUUCAGUUUUAGUUUUGCUAUUGGGUACUUAAAAUGUGACCUUUGAAACAUGUUUGCUAUUGUAUAAAUAUAUAAUUGACUUACGUGCAAUACAGGUCAUUAUAUUCCAUAAUAAAGUCCAUAACAAAGUCUUAUUUUGAUUAAUUGAUUUGGAUUACUUUAUUUUAUGAUGGCACAUUAUUGGUUUCUCAUUAAAUGUUUUUUACCCGUUCUCUAAAAGUGAAAUAAA